AACGGCGAGUGAAGCGGCAACAGCUCAGAUUUGAAAUCUGGCGCAAGCCCGAGUUGUAAUUUGCAGAGGAUGUUUCGGGUGAAGCCACGGUCCAAGUCCCUUGGAACAGGACGUCAUAGAGGGUGAGAACCCCGUACCUGGCCGUCGGUGCCCCCCGCUGUGAAACUCCUUCGACGAGUCGAGUUGUUUGGGAAUGCAGCUCUAAAUUGGUGGUAAAUUCCAUCUAAAGCUAAAUACCGGCCAGAGACCGAUAGCGCACAAGUAGAGUGAUCGAAAGAUGAAAAGCACUUUGAAAAGAGAGUUAAAAAGUACGUGAAAUUGUUGAAAGGGAAGCGCUUGCGGCCAGACUUGCCCGCGGUUGCUCAGCCCGCCUUUUGGCGGGUGCACUCUUCCGCGGUCAGGCCAGCAUCGGUUUGGGCGGUCGGAUAAAGGCGUCGGGAACGUGGCCUCCCCUCGGGGAGGUGUUAUAGCCCGGUGCGCAAUGCGACCAGCCCGGACCGAGGUUCGCGCUUUGCUAGGAUGCUGGCGUAAUGGCCGUAAGCGGCCCGUCUUGAAACACGGACCAAGGAGUCUAACAUCUAUGCGAGUGUUUGGGUGUCAAACCCGUGCGCGUAAUGAAAGUGAACGGAGGUGGGAACCGCAAGGUGCACCAUCGACCGAUCCUGAUGUCUUCGGAAGGAUUUGAGUAAGAGCAUAGCUGUUGGGACCCGAAAGAUGGUGAACUAUGCGUGAAUAGG
rnacentral:rRNA from 1 species